rnacentral:rRNA from 1 species
GACAGAGGGUGCAAACGUUGUUCGGAAUUACUGGGCGUAAAGCGCGUGUAGGCGGCCAUCUAAGUCGGGCGUGAAAUCCCACGGCUCAACCGUGGAAGUGCACUCGAAACUGGAUGGCUAGAGUCCUGGAGAGGAAGGUGGAAUGCUUGGUGUAGAGGUGAAAUUCGUAGAUAUCAAGCGGAACACCGGUGGCGAAGGCGGCAUCCUGGACCAACACUGAACGCUGAGUGAGCGAAAGCCAGGGGGAGCAAACAGG